ACAGCCAGGAUGUUGGCUUAGAAGCAGCCAUCAUUUAAAGAAAGCGUAAUAGCUCACUGGUCGAGUCGGCCUGCGCGGAAGAUGUAACGGGGCUAAACCAUGCACCGAAGCUGCGGCAGCGACGUUUAUGCGUUGUUGGGUAGGGGAGCGUUCUGUAAGCCUGCGAAGGUGGCCUGUGAGGGUUGCUGGAGGUAUCAGAAGUGCGAAUGCUGACAUAAGUAACGAUAAAGCGGGUGAAAAGCCCGCUCGCCGGAAGACCAAGGGUUCCUGUCCAACGUUAAUCGGGGCAGGGUGAGUCGACCCCUAAGGCGAGGCCGAAAGGCGUAGUCGAUGGGAAACGGGUUAAUAUUCCCGUACUUGGUGUUACUGCGAAGGGGGGACGGAGAAGGCUAUGUUGGCCGGGCGACGGUUGUCCCGGUUUAAGCGUGUAGGCUGGUUUUCCAGGCAAAUCCGGAAAAUCAAGGCUGAGGCGUGACGACGAGGCACUACGGUGCUGAAGCAACAAAUGCCCUGCUUCCAGGAAAAGCCUCUAAGCAUCAGGUAACAUCAAAUCGUACCCCAAACCGACACAGGUGGUCAGGUAGAGAAUACCAAGGCGCUUGAGAGAACUCGGGUGAAGGAACUAGGCAAAAUGGUGCCGUAACUUCGGGAGAAGGCACGCUGACACGUAGGUGAAGUGAUUUACUCAUGGAGCUGAAGUCAGUCGAAGAUACCAGCUGGCUGCAACUGUUUAUUAAAAACACAGCACUGUGCAAACACGAAAGUGGACGUAUACGGUGUGACGCCUGCCCGGUGCCGGAAGGUUAAUUGAUGGGGUCAGCGCAAGCGAAGCUCCUGAUCGAAGCCCCGGUAAACGGCGGCCGUAACUAUAACGGUCCUAAGGUAGCGAAAUUCCUUGUCGGGUAAGUUCCGACCUGCACGAAUGGCGUAAUGAUGGCCAGGCUGUCUCCACCCGAGACUCAGUGAAAUUGAACUCGCUGUGAAGAUGCAGUGUACCCGCGGCAAGACGGAAAGACCCCGUGAACCUUUACUAUAGCUUGACACUGAACAUUGAGCCUUGAUGUGUAG
rnacentral:rRNA from 1 species